CAAUGGUGUUUUUGCAUUUAGGCUAAAGAUCUUUAGAGGUUGAGCAGUCUGCGAUUCAUUUAUGAUCUAGAUGCUGCUUCUAAUUUAUAAAGCAAUAAAUGUUCAAAUAAUACUAACUUGUUGAUUGAAUGCAUGGGUUCAGAUAUUCUCUGUCUGUAUUAUUUGAUAAUGUCAUUGACUUAAAAUAGCCAGUGAGGUAAGAAUUUACUUCUUAGGAGUAAG
rnacentral:lncRNA from 1 species